rnacentral:RNase_P_RNA from 1 species
GGAGUUGGCCAGGCAAUCGCUGUUCCCUCGGGGGCAGAGGAAAGUCCGGGCUCCACAGGACAGGGUGCCAGGUAACGCCUGGGCGUCGCGAGACGACGGAAAGUGGAACAGAAAGCAUACCGCCGAUGGCCGCAAGGCACAGGCAAGGUUGAAAUGGCGCGGUUGCCCGCAAGGGCGGCUGGGCCCGCCGCAAGGCGGGUCGGGUAAGAGCCCACCGCGUUCCUGGCAACAGGAACGGCACGCUAAACCCCACCCGGAGCAAAGCCAAAUAGGCAGGCGUCGAAGCGGUCCGCUGAGCCUGCGGGUAGGCUGCACGAGGCGCCAGGCGACUGGCGUCCCAGAUGAAUGAUUGCCCACGACAGAACCCGGCUUAUCGGCCAACUCCACCC